rnacentral:rRNA from 1 species
UACGGAGGAUGCGAGCGUUAUCCGGAUUUAUUGGGUUUAAAGGGAGCGUAGGCGGGAUGCCAAGUCAGCGGUAAAAAUGCGGUGCUCAACGCCGUCGAGCCGUUGAAACUGGCGUUCUUGAGUGGGCGAGAAGUAUGCGGAAUGCGUGGUGUAGCGGUGAAAUGCAUAGAUAUCACGCAGAACUCCGAUUGCGAAGGCAGCAUACCGGCGCCCUACUGACGCUGAGGCACGAAAGCGUGGGUAUCGAACAGG